rnacentral:rRNA from 1 species
AACGAACGCUGGCGGCAGGCUUAACACAUGCAAGUCGAACGCACCUUUCGGGGUGAGUGGCCGACGGGUGAGUAACGCGUGGGAAUCUACCCUUCUCUACGGGAUAGCUCCGGGAAACUGGAAUUAAUACCGUAUACGUCCUGAGGGAGAAAGAUUUAUCGGGGAAGGAUGAGCCCGCGUUGGAUUAGCUAGUUGGUGGGGUAAAGGCCUACCAAGGCGACGAUCCAUAGCUGGUCUAAGAGGAUGAUCAGCCACAUUGGGACUGAGACACGGCCCAAACUCCGACGGGAGGCAGCAGUGGGGAAUAGUGGACAAUGGGCGCAAGCCUGAGCCAGCCAUGCCGCGUGAGUGAUGAAGGCCCUAGGGUUGUAAAGCUCUUUCAGUGGGGACGAUAAUGACGGUACCCACAGAAGAAGCCCCGGCUAACUUCG